rnacentral:sRNA from 1 species
CACACACGGAGUCUGUGUGUUUUGGGGAGAAAUCCCAAAGCACCACCGGUUGCAACAUAGUGUUGCUUCUCUCCGUGGAGGCUAAACCGGAAAGGAAAAUA